GACGAACGCUGGCGGCGUGCUUAACACAUGCAAGUCGAGCGGAAAGGCUCCUUCGGGGGUACUCGAGCGGCGAACGGGUGAGUAACACGUGAGUAAUCUGCCCUGUGCUCUGGGAUAGCCACCGGAAACGGUGAUUAAUACCGGAUACAACCACUAUAGGCAUCUGUUGGUGGUGGAAGGUUUUUCGUCAUGGGAUGUGCUCGCGGCCUAUCAGCUUGUUGGUGAGGUAAUGGCUCACCAAGGCUUUGACGGGUAGCCGGCCUGAGAGGGUGACCGGUCACACUGGGACUGAGACACGGCCCAGACUCCUACGGGAGGCAGCAGUGGGGAAUAUUGGACAAUGGGCGGAAGCCUGAUCCAGCAACGCCGCGUGAAGGAUGACGGCCUUCGGGUUGUAAACCUCUUUCAGUACCGACGAAGCGAAAGUGACGGUAGGUACAGAAGAAGGACCGGCCAACUACGUGCCAGCCGCCGCCGUAACAC
rnacentral:rRNA from 1 species